AGGGUUGUGGCUCAGUGGUACAGCACUUGUCUAGCAUGCAUGAGACACUGGGUUCAAUUCUCAGCACCACAU
rnacentral:tRNA from 1 species